UAAUACGAAGGGGGCGAGCGUUGUUCGGAAUUACUGGGCGUAAAGGGCGCGUAGGCGGUUUGCCAAGUCAGAUGUGAAAGCCCCGGGCUCAACCUGGGAACCGCAUUUGAGACUGGCCGACUCGAGUUCGGGAGAGGAUAGUGGAAUUCCCAGUGUAGAGGUGAAAUUCGUAGAUAUUGGGAAGAACACCGAAGGCGAAGGCAGCUAUCUGGACCGACACUGACGCUGAGGCGCGAAAGCGUGGGGAGCAAACAGGAUUAGAUACCCUGGUAGUCCACGCCGUAAACGAUGAGUGCUAGCCGCUGGGGAGCUUGCUCUUCGGUGGCGCCGCUAACGCAUUAAGCACUCCGCCUGGGGAGUACGGCCGCAAGGUUA
rnacentral:rRNA from 1 species